rnacentral:snoRNA from 1 species
UGCAGAUGAUGCUAACCUUGCUGUCUGAAUCCACUCGAUGACACACCACCAAGAUCGCUGAUGCA